rnacentral:rRNA from 1 species
UUUGAAAUCUGGCGCAGCCCGAGUUGUAAUUUGUAGAGGAUGCUUCUGGGUAGCGACCGGUCUAAGUUCCUUGGAACAGGACGUCAUAGAGGGUGAGAAUCCCGUAUGUGACCGGCCCGCACCCUUUACGUAGCUCCUUCGACGAGUCGAGUUGUUUGGGAAUGCAGCUCUAAAUGGGAGGUAAAUUUCUUCUAAAGCUAAAUACCGGCCAGAGACCGAUAGCGCACAAGUAGAGUGAUCGAAAGAUGAAAAGUACUUUGGAAAGAGAGUUAAAAAGCACGUGAAAUUGUUGAAAGGGAAGCGCCUGCAAUCAGACUUCGCGGCAGUGUUCCGCCGGCCUUCUGGCCGGUUCAUUCUCUGUCGCGAGGCCAUCAUCGUCUCGGCCCGCUGGAUAAGACCUUGGGAAUGUAGCUCACCUUCGGGGGAGUGUUAUAGCUCAUGGUGAUGCAGCGAGGCUGGGGCGAGGUCCGCGCUUCGGCAAGGAUGAUGGCGUAAUGGUUGUCGGCGGCCCGUCUUGAAACACGGACCAAGGAGUCUAACAUCUAUGCGAGUGUUCGGGUGUCAAACCCCUACGCGUAAUGAAAGUGAACGGAGGUGGGAACCGCAAGGUGCACCAUCGACCGAUCCUGAUGUCCUCGGAUGGAUUUGAGUAAGAGCAUAGCUGU